CAUAACACAACUGCACGUGUUUUUUCCUCCUAUUUCGUUUAUUUCAUUCUUUCUCUCUUUUAAGCUCUUAAUUUCUCCGUAACUUAAAAAUAUGUAUUCCUUUUUCACUCCUUAUUUUAAAUUUUGCUAAUAUAUAUUUAACAUUAUUUAAAAAAAAGUUAGUGCUUUACGUGCGAAAGCUUAUUGAAGUCGACAACUGUUGCUAAGAGUUUAUUUUAUAGUAUUACAGCAUUUUGAGAAAUGCAUGAACAUCACAACUUCCCAUACAACAAUAGGCUUCAAGUCGAUGUUAAAAGAAGAAAGAAAAAAACAAUUGUGUGUAAAGAAGUAAAAGGAGACAAAUGAACAAAUUAUAUCUAGGUUCACACACAUAUCUCUCCACCUGUGUUAUCUCUACAUGUGCAUUUAUCUACACAUGCACAUUUUGUUUUUAAAAAAAGAGUGAAAGGAAAACAUUAAUAAUAAUAAAUUUCAACCGACGGAUACCGAAAAGAUUUUUUUUUACUUGAAAUUCUUUUUCUUUGAUCUGUGGAUUUUACCAAAUUUUUGGAUUACAUAAUUUCAAAGAACACGGAUUUUACCAUUUGCAAUCACAGUUCCAACAGGUAAAUAAGAUUUCUCCUGUUAUAGUUCUGUAAUUAUGGUGUGAUAUUAUUUUAGGAAAAUCGCAGUAUUUUAAGUUUUACGCAUUGAAGAAUUUUUUUAUUUCUUUAUUUUAAUAAUUAUUUCAUUUUAUUCAUGUUUAAUUUUUCAUUUUUGUUAUUUAAUUAUAAAAUAUUAAUUUGAUAUUGAAAAUAAUUACAUAUAUUCAUAUGUACAUCGAUGAAUAAAUGAAUAAAAAGACAAAAUUUAUCGAUUUCUUUUUAAUAUUCUAUACACAAAAACUGAUUUCUGAUAUAGGGGUUAAGGACCCGAAGGGCAGAUGGAGAACUUUCGGCCUUUAAGUCACAUGCGGACUUCUGAAGGGCUAAGUGCGAUGUUCUGAAAUAAAUUCGUUCGAGGGAAAAUAGUU
rnacentral:lncRNA from 1 species